UACGAAGGGGGCUAGCGUUGCUCGGAAUCACUGGGCGUAAAGGGUGCGUAGGCGGGUCUUUAAGUCAGGGGUGAAAUCCUGGAGCUCAACUCCAGAACUGCCUUCGAUACUGAGAGUCUUGAGUCCGGGAGAGGUGAGUGGAACUGCGAGUGUAGAGGUGAAAUUCGUAGAUAUUCGCAAGAACACCAGUGGCGAAGGCGGCUCACUGGCCCGGUACUGACGCUGAGGUGCGAAAAGCGUGGGGAGCAAACAGG
rnacentral:rRNA from 1 species